rnacentral:rRNA from 1 species
CCUACGGGUGGCAGCAGUGGGGAAUAUUGCACAAUGGGGGGAACCCUGAUGCAGCAACGCCGCGUGGGUGAAGAAGUACUUCGGUAUGUAAAGCUCUGUCAGCAGGGAAGAAAAUGACGGUACCUGACUAAGAAGCCCCGGCUAACUACGUGCCAGCAGCCGCGGUAAUACGUAGUGGGCACGCGUUAUCCGGAUUUACUGGGUGUAAAGGGAGCGUAGACGGGAAGGCAAGUCUGGAGUGAAAGCCCGUUGCUCAACCACGGGACUGCUUUGGAAACUGUGUUGCUGGAGUGCAGGAGGGGUAAGCGGAAUUCCUAGUGUAGCGGUGAAAUGCGUAGAUAUUAGGAGGAACACCAGUGGCGAAGGCGGCUUACUGGACUGUAACUGACGUUGAGGCUCGAAGGCGUGGGGAGCAAACAGGAUUAGAUACCCGUGUAGUC